GUGUCUUAGGAGGAGCAAAGAGGCAGAAGUGUGGCGGGCCUUCGAGCCCCACUGGCCCCGUGGCCUGGCACUGCGACUGUCCUCCAUGACAACCCCAUGACUUUCUGGUGUGUGGGCUCCAGGUAGGACACGUGAUGUGGGUGGACAUUAUCCCAGGUGGUUGAGCCCUGCUUGACUCUCUGUUUCACCAGCCACGUCACCUGCAGGGGAGGCCACAGGUGGAGAUGGCAGAGCCUCUGAAAUGCUCCCCUGAAUGGUUGGGUCACUGCAUGAAGGACAGCGCCUGGCAGAACCAUCCGGAUGAGCGGCGGCCUCUGAGGGAGCAGGAGAUCAAUGUUCUCUGUGUUAAGUUCCUGGUAUCUUGGGCUUCUUCGUUUCUGCAGCCUGGCUUCCCCUAGUCCUGCCAUUAACUCUGUUAAAAAUGGCUUUGCCUGGCCAAAGUCCUUUCCAGCUCCGUGAGCCCGGGGCAUUCUAAAUUUCUUUUCCACGUAGAGAGUUUUUAUUAUUCUUUGGCUACAAAUUGAGAGGCAUCUCCAUGCUGCGCAAGCAACAGAAUGGUACUGAUGAGAGGGAGCAGAACCAAGGAACUGGAGGGACUUGCAAGGCCUGGUGGGUCAGUGCUAGCUGAAGGCAACCGAGUGUGAGGGUGGCUAGAGGGUCUUUGAGGGAGGAGCCCGCGGAGGUCUGGGCCUUACAGGGAAGCCUGGAGGCAGGUGGCAGGGGUCCGAGCAUGAAGACCAGUACGCAGCAGCUCUGUGCUAGGAUCCAGAAGAACGUCUCCUGGAGGGGCAGGUGUGUUCUAUACAUCAGAGAUCCAGUGUUCCAGGCCUGGCUGCUGCUUCUCUCUCAGGACAAGAGAAUGAGGGUAAAGACUAAAAGGCAUCGCGGUGUUUCCACUGGGCUAGAUGCUUUACGUGUGUUCUCUCCACUUGUUACCACCUCCCUGCCAAGCAGGGAGAUGAUCUCUAUUUCGCUCACUAGAGAAAUGCAGCUUCGAGAGAUUAAAUGUUUAAUGCAAGUGUGAUGCCAAGACCUCUACCCUUUCCUCCACACCAAGCUGCUUGGCCAAGGAGAGACUCCUGAACAAGGCUGGAGGUGGAGCUAUGCUGUCAACAAGAUUCCUGUGUUGAAGCCCCAAUCCCCAGUGUGACUGCACUUGGAGGCAGGGCCUUUAUACAGGCCAGGAAGGAGCUCUCGCCGGGAAAUGGACGAGCUGGCGCCUUGUCUCGGACUGCUGGCUUCCAGAACUGUGAGAAAUAAACUUCUGUUGUUGAAGCCCCCAGUCUGUGGUAUGUUGUUAUGGCUGCCCAAGCAGACUAAGACAGAUUUCGGUACCAAGAUGUGGGGAGCUGCUGUAACAAAUACCUAAAUAUGUGGAAGUGGCUUUGCACUGGGUAAUGGUAGAGGCUGGAGGAGUUUUGAGGUGCAUGCUAGAAAAAGCUUAGAUUGCUGUGAAGAAACUGUGGGUAGAAAUAUGGAUGUUAAAGGCAAUUCUGGUAAGGUCUCAGAAAGAAAAGAAGAGAGCUGGAGAGAAAGACUCCAUCUUCUUAGAGAACACGUAAAUAAUCAGGAACAGAGUGUUCGUGGAAAUGUGGACAUUAAGGUCAUUGUGGUGAGGUCUCCAAUGGAAACCAGCAGCAAUGUGUAACUGGAGACCAGAGGAGAGGGGAUGUCUGUUAUAAAGCAGCAAAGAACUUGGCUGGAGUGUGUUCUAGUGUUUGUGGAAGACAGAACCAUGAUCGAUGAAGCUGGAUACUGAGCUGAGGAGAUUUCUAAGCUAGAAGUUGGAGGUGCGGUCUGGAUCCUCCUGACUGCUUGUAGUGAAAUGCAAGAGAAGAGAGAGAAAUGGAAAGAGUUGUUAAGCAAAAAGGAACCAGAAUUUCACAAUUUGAAAAAUUCUCAGCCUAUCCAUAUUGGUAAGGCAAUUAGUGUGGAUGUGAACCGCAAGUGUAACCAGCCACUUCAGCAAAAGCUGGGGACAGAGUUGGGAUUAUCCUGGCAGGGACACUGCCAGUUUGAACUAAAGGGGACAGAAAAAUGGGAGGAAUGAAGGAAGGCCAUUGGAUUUCUUUGAUUCCA
ensembl:lncRNA